UGAGAUAUACUAGUAGAGGGAAAGAGAGGGAGGAGUGAGAUAUACUAGUAGAGGGAAAGAGAGAGAAGGAGUGAGAUAUACUAGUACGAGGGAAAGAAGAGAGAGGAUUGAGUAUACUCAGUUAUAGGAAAGAGAGAGGAGAUGUAUACUAUUAG
rnacentral:lncRNA from 1 species